GACAGAGGUCGCGAGCGUUAUCCGGAAUCAUUGGGCGUAAAGAGCUUGUAGGACGGGAAGAAAGUCGAAGGUGAAAUCUCACGGCCCAACCGUGAACCCGCCUUCGAAACUUCUUUCCUUGAGGGCGUUAGAGGCAAGUGGAAUUCCCGGUGUAGGGGUAAUAUCCGUUGAUCCCGGGAGGAACACCAAAAGCGAAAGCAGCUUGCUGGGGCGUCCCUGACUCUGAGAAGCGAAAGCUACGGGAGCAAACAGG
rnacentral:rRNA from 1 species